UCGAUAUCGGAUUACUGGGCGUAAGCGUGCGUAGGCGGCUUUUUAAGUCGGAUGUGAAAUCCCCGAGCUUAACUUGGGAAUUGCAUUCGAUACUGGGAAGCUAGAGUAUGGGAGAGGAUGGUAGAAUUCCAGGUGUAGCGGUGAAAUGCGUAGAGAUCUGGAGGAAUACCGAUGGCGAAGGCAGCCAUCUGGCCUAAUACUGACGCUGAGGUACGAAAGCAUGGGGAGCAAACAGGAUUAGAUACCCUGGUAGUCCAUGCCGUAAACGAUGUCUACUAGCCGUUGGGGCCUUUGAGGCUUUAGUGGCGCAGCUAACGCGAUAAGUAGACCGCCUGGGGAGUACGGUCGCAAGACUAAAACUCAAAUGAAUUGACGGGGGCCCGCACAAGCGGUGGAGCAUGUGGUUUAAUUCGAUGCAACGCGAAGAACCUUACCUGGUCUUGACAUAGUAAGAACUUUCCAGAGAUGGAUUGGUGCCUUCGGGAACUUACAUACAGGUGCUGCAUGGCUGUCGUCAGCUCGUGUCGUGAGAUGUUGGGUUAAGUCCCGCAACGAGCGCAACCCUUUUCCUUAUUUGCCAGCACUUCGGGUGGGAACUUUAAGGAUACUGCCAGUGACAAACUGGAGGAAGGCGGGGACGACGUCAAGUCAUCAUGGCCCUUACGACCAGGGCUACACACGUGCUACAAUGGUCGGUACAAAGGGUUGCUACCUAGCGAUAGGAUGCUAAUCUCAAAAAGCCGAUCGUAGUCCGGAUUGGAGUCUGCAACUCGACUCCAUGAAGUCGGACUCGCUAGUAAUCGCGGAUCAGAUGCCGCGGUGAAUACGUUCCCGGGCCUUGUACACACCGCCCGUCACACCAUGGGAGUUUGUUGCACCAGAAGUAGGUAGUCUAACCGUAAAGGAGGACGCUUACCACGGUGUGGCCGAUGACUGGGGUGAAGUCGUACAAAGGUAGCCCA
rnacentral:rRNA from 1 species